CCGGAAUUAUUGGGUUUAAAGGGUGCGUAGGCGGCCAUUUAAGUCAGCGGUGAAAUUUUGCAGCUUAACUGUAACAGUGCCGUUGAUACUGUUUGGCUAGGACUUGGUUGUAGUGUGCGGAAUGUGUGGUGUGGCGGUGAAAUGCUUAGAUAUCACACAGAACACCGAUUGCGAAGGCAGCACACUAAGUCAUUAUUGACGCUGAGGCACGAAAGUGUGGGGAUCAAACAGGAUUAGAUACCCUGGUAGUCCACACUGUAAACGAUGAUAACUCGCUGUCGGCGAUACACAGUCGGUGGCCAAGCGAAAGCAUUAAGUUAUCCACCUGGGGAGUACGACCGCAAGGUUGAAACUCAAAGGAAUUGACGGGGGCCCGCACAAGCGGAGGAACAUGUGGUUUAAUUCGAUGAUACGCGAGGAACCUUACC
rnacentral:rRNA from 1 species